GUUGGCAAUAGUCCAAAACUUAUCAAAGUUCGUGAUGGAAGAUCCCACGUGAGACAAAGGAAAAUUCUUAGGAUGUAGGGUGAGGUCAAAUCUUCAUUCAAUGGAGCAUAUGUGGAGAGAAAAAAGUACAGGACUCCAAUGGUACAGUAGGUAGGUACGUUGAGAAUAAAAUAGUAAAAUAAAUCUUACUCACACUUUUCAGAGCUGAGGAUCCAGCUCUGAUGUAAUGCACGUAAAGUGGAAUGAUCC